rnacentral:rRNA from 1 species
GCUCAGAUUGAACGCUGGCGGCAGGCCUAACACAUGCAAGUCGAGCGGUAGCACAGAGAGCUUGCUCUCGGGUGACGAGCGGCGGACGGGUGAGUAAUGUCUGGGAAACUGCCUGAUGGAGGGGGAUAACUACUGGAAACGGUAGCUAAUACCGCAUAACGUCGCAAGACCAAAGUGGGGGACCUUCGGGCCUCAUGCCAUCAGAUGUGCCCAGAUGGGAUUAGCUGGUAGGUGGGGUAACGGCUCACCUAGGCGACGAUCCCUAGCUGGUCUGAGAGGAUGACCAGCCACACUGGAACUGAGACACGGUCCAGACUCCUACGGGAGGCAGCAGUGGGGAAUAUUGCACAAUGGGCGCAAGCCUGAUGCAGCCAUGCCGCGUGUGUGAAGAAGGCCUUCGGGUUGUAAAGCACUUUCAGCGGGGAGGAAGGCGGUGAGGUUAAUAACCUCAUCGAUUGACGUUACCCGCAGAAGAAGCACCGGCUAACUCCGUGCCAGCAGCCGCGGUAAUACGGAGGGUGCAAGCGUUAAUCGGAAUUACUGGGCGUAAAGCGCACGCAGGCGGUCUGUCAAGUCGGAUGUGAAAUCCCCGGGCUCAACCUGGGAACUGCAUUCGAAACUGGCAGGCUAGAGUCUUGUAGAGGGGGGUAGAAUUCCAGGUGUAGCGGUGAAAUGCGUAGAGAUCUGGAGGAAUACCGGUGGCGAAGGCGGCCCCCUGGACAAAGACUGACGCUCAGGUGCGAAAGCGUGGGGAGCAAACAGGAUUAGAUACCCUGGUAGUCCACGCUGUAAACGAUGUCGAUUUGGAGGUUGUGCCCUUGAGGCGUGGCUUCCGGAGCUAACGCGUUAAAUCGACCGCCUGGGGAGUACGGCCGCAAGGUUAAAACUCAAAUGAAUUGACGGGGGCCCGCACAAGCGGUGGAGCAUGUGGUUUAAUUCGAUGCAACGCGAAGAACCUUACCUGGUCUUGACAUCCACAGAACUUUCCAGAGAUGGAUUGGUGCCUUCGGGAACUGUGAGACAGGUGCUGCAUGGCUGUCGUCAGCUCGUGUUGUGAAAUGUUGGGUUAAGUCCCGCAACGAGCGCAACCCUUAUCCUUUGUUGCCAGCGGUCMGGCCGGGAACUCAAAGGAGACUGCCAGUGAUAAACUGGAGGAAGGUGGGGAUGACGUCAAGUCAUCAUGGCCCUUACGACCAGGGCUACACACGUGCUACAAUGGCAUAUACAAAGAGAAGCGACCUCGCGAGAGCAAGCGGACCUCAUAAAGUAUGUCGUAGUCCGGAUUGGAGUCUGCAACUCGACUCCAUGAAGUCGGAAUCGCUAGUAAUCGUAGAUCAGAAUGCUACGGUGAAUACGUUCCCGGGCCUUGUACACACCGCCCGUCACACCAUGGGAGUGGGUUGCAAAAGAAGUAGGUAGCUUAACCUUCGGGAGGGCGCUUACCACUUUGUGAUUCAUGACUGGG